rnacentral:rRNA from 1 species
GAUGAACGCUAGCGGCAGGCUUAACACAUGCAAGUCGAGGGGUAUUGGGUUUUCGGACCAAGAGACCGGCGCACGGGUGCGUAACGCGUAUGCAAUCUACCUUUUGCAGAGGGAUAGCCCAGAGAAAUUUGGAUUAAUACCUCAUAGUAUAGUACUUUGGCAGUCAAGGAACUAUUAAAGUCACAACGGCAAAGAUGAGCAUGCGUCCAUUAGCUAGUUGGUAAGGUAACGGCUUACCAAGGCUACGAGUGGGUAGGGUUCUGAGAGGGACGAUCCCCCGACACUGGUACUGAGACACGGACCAGACUCCUACGGAGGCAGCAGUGAGGAAUAUUGGACAAUGGGCGCAAGCCUGAUCCAGCCAUGCCGCGUGCAAGGAUGUAACGGUCCCUAAUGGAUUGUAAACUGCUUUUAUACAGGAAGAAACACUCCGACGUGUCGGAG